UACAACAAGAAGAACAAUAAAAUGUUGCACUUUGGAAAGCAAAAUUAGCUCUAUCUUUUUGAUGCAUAGGUGGGAUUGAUCAUGUAUUUUGUGCGCACACCAUGUGAAUGGGGCAUGGAUGCUAUUUCAGCAACACUGACCUUCCUUUGGGAAGUUGUUGGCUAUGUGGAAGGACUUUUCUUCAAGGACCUCAAACAGACUAUGAAGAAGGAACAAUGUGAAGCUGUUGGUGACUGCCUCCAUGCCAGGCACCAAAACCCUGGUAGUUCAUGGGCAAAAUGAAUGUGAUAUCCCAACCCAGUUGCCAGUCCAUGAAGACACCCAGUUUGAAGCUCUUUUAAAGGUUUGAAAUUUAUUUUUUAAAUUCUGCAAUGCAUUUUUAUAUCAGUAUUUUCUUUUCUUUUUUCUUUCAAAAU
rnacentral:lncRNA from 11 species